rnacentral:rRNA from 2 species
UACCUGCAGCCCAAGUGGUGCUCGUUAUUAUUGGGUCUAAAACGUCCGUAGUCGGCUGAGUAGAUGCCCGGGUAAAUCGCAGCGCUCAACGUUGCGAAUUCCGGGUAGACCGCUCGGCUAGGGAGUGGGAGAGGUGUGAGGUACUCUGAGGGUAGGGGUAAAAUCCUGUAAUCCUUGGGGGACCACCAGUGGCGAAGGCGUCACACUAGAACACGUCCGACGAUCAGGGACGAAGCCCUGGGGCGCAAACGGG